GCCGAGGUGGCGGAAUGGUAUACGCGCACGACUCAAAAUCGUGUGGGGAAACCCAUGAGGGUUCGAGUCCCUCUCUCGGCA
rnacentral:tRNA from 1 species